UGUACCCCAGGGCAGGAGAUGGCAGGUCCAUCUCAGAACUGCCCAGCACAGGAGACGCCUCUGUCUAUUGUACACACCCUUAGUGUAUGCGGAAAACUGAAAAGAGCAUUUUAUGUACAAACGGGCAUUUACCUGAGGGCUGAAAGGCCUUAUGGGAAACACGGGAGUGGUAUCUGCCCAGCUCCUUCCCCCAGGCCGAUCAUAAUUCCUGUUUUCCUCAGGACACAGUAAACGCUUGGAAGGGCAGCUGUGAGGACGUGCCAGGGCCCCCGGCAUCACCACGGGAGGAGGGUCUGCCAGCAGCAGGGGAGAGCGAGGCCAGCACAGAGGGACAGCAGAGCAGACCUAGUGAGUGACCGAAUGACUCACUGGAGCCCUGGAUGUCAGCAGACUUCCUCGCUGUGAGCCUGUGAGCGGGCAAAUCCACACCCCGCCCCCCGCCUCCAUUUGUUAGCUUUAGCUGAGUUGGGAUUUUUGACCCUUGUCAAUGAAAAAGUGUCCCAGAAUUAAAGCUCGUAGGUUUCCCAGUGA